UACGUAGGUGGCAAGCGUUGUUCGGAAUUAUUGGGCGUAAAGGGCGCGUAGGCGGCCUGUUAAGUCGGCUGUGAAAGCCCGGGGCUCAACCCCGGAGGGUCAGCCGAUACUGGCAGGCUAGAGUACGGAAGAGGUAGCUGGAAUUCCCGGUGUAGCGGUGAAAUGCGUAGAUAUCUGGAGGAACACCGGUGGCGAAGGCGGCAUCCUGGACCGGUAUUGACGCUGAGGCGCGAAAGCUAGGGGAGCAAACGGG
rnacentral:rRNA from 1 species